UACGUAGGUGGCAAGCGUUGUCCGGAUUUAUUGGGUUUAAAGGGUGCGUAGGCGGUCAAGUAAGUCAGCGGUGAAAUCCGGCAGCUCAACUGUCGAUGUGCCAUUGAUACUGCAUGACUUGAGUACUGAUGAGGUAGGCGGAAUUGACGGUGUAGCGGUGAAAUGCUUAGAUAUCGUCAAGAACACCGAUAGCGAAGGCAGCUUACUAAGCAGUAACUGGCGCUGAUGCACGAAAGUGUGGGGAGUCAAACAGG
rnacentral:rRNA from 1 species